AUCUCCGGUGGCCUAAUAGUUAGAGCGUCCGCCUCGGAUGCGGAAGGUCGCUGGUUCGAACCCAUGCCGAGUCAUA